GGGUUCUAAAAAGAAGAUAGAAAGUUGCGAAUCGGAUAACCUACAAGAGAAGGGAAAAGAGAGAGGGUUCGAAAGGAAGACCGGUGUUCAGGGAACGAUCGAUGGCGGCAGCGAUCGACGGUUCGGCAAGACCGGUUCUGCCACAGCAACACUCGACGGUUUGAGACUGAUUCGACGGCUCAACGGUUCGGUGGCGAGACUGCUUCUUCUCUUCUCUUCGGUCUGGAAAAAACCUCAGGAGAUGAUGGAUGGAGGAGUUUGACAUGCAAUUGAGUCACUUACGACCUCAUUAUUUGGGGAUCUGUACAAAACAAAACAUUAUUUUUGGGGGCUCGGUAUUCUAUGAACCUUUUUGGAUUUUUUUUUUUUUGGUUGGGGGGAGGGGGGUAGGCAUCUAUGAAAUAUUCUGAAUAUGGGAUAACAAAUUUUCAGGUUGAGUUAUUUGGAUAAUGUUUGCGAAUUCCUUGAAAUUGACACACUUGUAUUUAAAAUGUCUGAGACGUUUGAAACCGAAACUCUAUUCUUGAA